UUUUGAGUAUUUUUUAGUAUUCUAUUUAAAUGUCUUUAUUUUGCUAGAUCUCUUUGUAUAAAGUUCUUAGCGGUUGCUGUAAGGAUUAAAAUGUACAUACUUGGCUUUUUAACGGUUUACUAGAAUCAAGAGGAUGUCGUGACUGAGUCAACGUGGAGAUGGGAAAAGGAAGGAGUCAAGUACGAUGCUGAAGCUUCUGUAUCAGGCUUUCUAUACGUUUCGAGUGAAAGAGCUCUGACUGGUGCAUAAGCAUCUGGCAAAUGAAGUGAGCAAAGAGCAUUCUGGGCAGAGGAAGUAGCAGAGCCAAAAGACUUAGAAGAUGGGAGGAGGUAUGAUGCCUUUUAGUUGCUGAAGGAAGACAACUGGCAAGGCGUUUGAGAGGAGAGAUGGGCAAAAUGGGGCUGUGGAAGAAAUCAGGUCCAGACCGUUAAGGUCUUUGUAGACCAUGGGGAACUGAAGCCAGAAAGAAGAAUGUGAUUUACUCAAGAGGAGUCACCUGAGACUCAGAGAGGUAAAGUAACUUGCCCAAAGCCACACAGCUAAGAGGAGCAGAACCAGGAAGAGAACUCAGGUCUGUCUGACUCCAGAGGAUGAACUUUUCCCGCUCCUCUGGACUGCUGUCCUUCACCUGCUCCAGCCACCACCCCCGGCUCCAGCCAGGCCUCAGUGCUGGCGAGGUGAGCCCCAGAAUGUGAAGAGGGAGAGCAAUACAGAGCGAUCCAAUGGGAACAACUAAGUUCUACAACCUGCUGGCCAUGCAGUGGCUGUGUGACCUUAGGACAGAAGCACCUCCUCUCUGGACUUCAGUUUCCUCAUCACUCAAAUGACGGUUUGGGUUCAGUCAUUUGACAGAUGCCUCCCACUCUGACUGUUUGGCCCACAGGGCAGGGGGCUUUGUAGGUGGCCCCCUGACCACUGGGGAGUGUUGACCUGGAAAUAGGGCUCUGUGUGGGGGCAGAAGAAGCAACUCAAUGUGUGUGUCCACUGGCCUUGGACACUCUUCUCUUUCCUUUCCAUAUGCAGUGGAUGUGCCUGUUUGCCCUCAGCACGUAUUCCCACCUCCUUCCCCCACUUCUGUCUCAUCUGCCUUCCUGGAC
rnacentral:lncRNA from 1 species